AAUCAGCAGGGAAAGAAGACCCUGUUGAGCUUGACUAGUCUGCGGCUGUGAGGAGACACGAGAGGUGUAGAAUAAGUGGGAGGCCAGGCACACACUUGGUGGUGUGGGGCGACCUGCCCACCAGUGUCCCGUCCAUCAGUGAAAUACCACUACUCUGAUCAUUUUUUCACUUACUUGGUGAGGUGGGGGGGAGGGGGCAAGCCCUAAGGGGAACUCUUGCUUCUGGUGCCAAGUGCUGGGUGCACGCUGAGCGCAACCCUCUCCAGGAACAGCAGGAGGUAGGGAGUUUGGGGCGUCAAAGCGUAACGCAGGUGUCCUAGAGCAAGCUCAGGGAGGACAGAAGCCUCCUGUGGAGCAGAAGGGCAAAACCUUGCUUGAUCUUGAUUUUCAGUACGAAUACAGACCAUGAAAGUGGGGCCUCACGAUCCUUCUGGCUUUUUGGGUUUUAAGCAGGAGGUAUCAGAAAAGUUACCACAGGGAUAACUGGCUUGUGGCGGCCAUAUGUUCAUAGCGAUAUCGCUUUUUGAUCCUUUGAUACUGGCUCUUCCUAUCAUUGUGAAGCUGAAUUCACCAAGCGUUGGAUUGUUCACCCACUAAUAAGGAACGUGAGCGGGGUUUAGACCAUCAUGAGACAGGUUAGUUUUAUCCUACUGAUG
rnacentral:ncRNA from 1 species